UGUCCUGCCACCGACUGCAUGGAGACAGAAACAAGCACCUUCAGUCAACAUGACCCAAUGAGGGUGGUGGCCUCCAGCUUACUGCAGUGAGCCGCCUGGAAGGCUCUGGAAGAACCCUGGCAGGGACACAGGCAAGCCACCUCCCAAAGGAGUUCCUUUCAAAGAGGGUCUCUUAGUUGGGGGGUUGAAUGGCCUAAAACGAUCCCAACCAUCCCAUCUCAGGGCCAAGGAAUGACCUUUGGAUUGACGGACCUUUUUGGAUGAUCAUGGCCAUCGAUGAAUUUGGAACUCUCAAAGGGAAACCGUUUAUAUAAAUAUGACUCCUCAGGAAGAACAUUGGGGCCCAAUACGCAUUUAUCUAUAAUAUAAUUGACUUUAGCCAACAGAGGAGAAAGGGAAGGAGUUAUACCUAUUUCGGUUCUGGAUUAAGGAAGAAUACUAGUUUUUAUCAAGUCUUUACAUAUGCCAGAUGCAGACGUGGAGGCAUGAAGAAGUCCAGCACUUUAAGGCCAUAGCCCUAGUGCAUGGAUUGUACACUAUUGCUCUAGAAGAAUGCACAAAAAUCAGAAUGGAUUCAUCCCCAGAAAAAUAGAGCUGAAAACACAUUCUUCUUCUUCCAUAUAAUUAGAGUCUUAGAGGACAAUCUCCAAGUGUAUAUGUAGGCAGAGAAAUGAGUGACGGGAUGGCAAUUGAGGAUGGAAGAAGACUAGCCUCAUGGCCCCGCCCACCCACAAGGGAGCAGGAAGUGGAAUCCUACCAUGUGCCCAGAAGGGGAAAGACCUGGAAAUAGUUCAUGAACAGCAAUAAUGAUUAUUAUAACUAUAGAAGAGCCAAAAGACCUGGUCUCUGGCCUCAAGAAGCUUGCCUGCUAAAACAAAAUUUGUUUCAUCAACGAAGAAACUCAAAGUUCUGCCUUCUUCUUAAAGGACAAGUUUAACAAUGCCUUGGGGAAGUAUAAUUAUUUAGUUAUUUACAUCAUCAUGUUGAAACCUCCUGUUUAAUUGGAAAGUAUGCCCUCAACUUGCCCUCCACUUCUUCAUGGAGUGUUUCCAGAUAAUGGAGGAGGGGUUACAGAAGUAGAAAGGUUCCUCUCCCCUAAUAACACACAAUCCAAGGAAACAAGAAAGCCAGAUCUUCUGAUUCAUUUAAACCCCUGCCGACAAGCAGCUGUGUUAGAAAUCAGUCUCCAAUCUCUCUCCUUCAUCUCAUCCUAAGAAAGUGAGACCCUUUCCCCAUGACCAAGUGGACAGUUUCCCAAGGGUCAGGAGCAGAGCUGGGAAUACCAAAAGGAUUCUGAUUUUUCAGAAGUCCCAGAAGAGAACUGGCAUUUAUACCAAAGCAAUUCAACAGCAAUUUUGGCAUUUGUAAUUGGCUCAUAGUGUCAGCAAACCAGCCAGAAUGUUUUUCUAAUACACUAAGACGAGUUUAACCAGAAGGUGUUGCCAAAAACAGUCCACCCCACAAGAGAAAUCUCAUACAUAUGAAUCAUGGCUGGGCUAGUGUUUGAGAGGCUCUCUGUUUUGACUAGAUAUUAUCAAUUUGAUUAGAUAAUUGUUUGGUUAACCAGACGAUGGUCAUUCAACAUCCAUGGUGAGAGGGAGCCUAUUUUUCCAAGCACUACUGACCAGCAGCUCUCCUGACUUCCCAGUCUAACCAGACUUAGAAUAGCUGAAUCUCUUAUUUAUGAUUCAAUAAGAAAUGAAAGAAAACUUUGCUUUGGGGGAGGGGUGGGGUUAAAAUAUUUUGAUUUCUAAGUGACAUCGGGGUGAAGGAUCUGCAUGUAAUUCCCAAACCACCAUAAUUAUGAUUAAUAAAUAUAGUAGCAAUUCUCAUCA